CGAAGCUGUAGUUUAAUUAAAAUACUAGCAUUGGGAGCUAGUGAUUAGGUAAUAGUCCUACGCUUUGA
rnacentral:tRNA from 1 species